AGUAUCAUACGAGCACUUUGUUCAGGAGUUCAACACUUUGGGAAAUCAAAAUAAAACGGAGAAAUUCCCAGUUCUAAAACAAAUCAUUGAAGAGGCUGGAGUUUUGCAAUUAAUAAGGCAUUUGCCGAAAAUUCUUGAUAUGCAAAACAUCUUUAAGAGAAGGUUAAAUAGACAGAAAACUCGAGAGGAAUUGAACACUUUGACCAUUCGUAGUUGUCUACUGGAAUUUGAAAAAGAUCCUGCAAUCGAUAUCAUUAAUGAAGGAAUUUCUGCAUUCGUGGAAGCAUGGCAAUCCAUUUGGUCUUUUCUGACAUUUGAGAAAGAUAUUCACAAAAAGGAAAUAGAUAUUGAGAAAGAUAAAAUAAGUCUCUUGGUUUGCGGGGAGGAAGAAUUUGGCUUUUCCGUAAUUGGCAUAAUUUUGAGAUUUCUGA